UCUUUCUGCCCCUUUUUUCCCUUCUUCUCUUUGGAACAACAUACGUGUGUCUUCUAUUCAAGUCCUUUCCAUUUACAAAAGCGAAAGAUAAAAUUAAAUAAAGGGGAAAUUUUAUCUUAAUGUUCCCAUGAAUUUUGACUAAUCAUUUCUUCUAUUUUUGGGGGGCUAAAGGGAAAAGGGUUGGAAGAUCUAUGGGGAUUGUUGUUGUGUUUGGCAAGGUCAACUGCACUAUUUUUAGGCAUAGGGGUCACAUACACUGCUGGUGGUAGACUGUUUUUAAGUCAAUGCAAGUACGUGAAUGAUUUGGUAGAAAGAUGUCACAUGGACAAGGCUAAUGGUAUGCCUACACCCAUGGUCACAGCACAUGUCACUUGCCAAAGGAUGUUGGUAAUCCCAUGAUAAUCCUUUUGAAUAUAGAAAGCAUUGUUGGGACUUUGCAAUAUGUUGUGAUUACAAAACCUGAAAUUGCACAUGCGGUGAAUUGAGUGUUUCAUUUUGUGCAGUCAUCCCUUGAUACUCAUUAUGCUUCUACAACAGAAUUCUGCGAUACUUAAAAAGCUACAGGAGAUUUUGGCUAGCAAACAGACUGUCCAUUACUGGUUUUGUCGAUGCCAAUUGAGGACUUGAUAUUGAUGAAGGCAGGUCUACGACAGGAUAUUGUUUGUUGUUUGGUGACAAUCCCGUCUCCCGGUGCUUUGAGAAACAGUAGGUCGUACUGCAGAGGCGGAAUAAAGAAGUAUUGCUAGUGCCACUGCUGAUAUUAUGUGGUUGGGGUCCUUACUUGAGGAGUUGCAUAUGCAGCUUGAUGAUAAGACCGUACUUUGGUGUGGCAAUUCAAGCGCAGUUUUACACUCCAGGCAUGUGGAGCUUGAUUUAUAUUUUGUUCUAGGGAGAGUUGCUGCUGGCAAGUUGAUCGUUGAAGUCCCUGCAUCAGACCAAGUUGCAGACAUUCUCAGUAACCUUUGUCUGCAUUGUUUCAUUUGCAAAAUGAGGGGCAAAUUGAAGGUGAAGGCUGUUGAAGAUGGGUGAAUGUUUGUGAUUCACUACUAUUGUAAUUAAGUCAAGAUUUAAUCAGCAAUUCUAAUUCUAGUCUUAAUUAGUUUUGACGA